rnacentral:rRNA from 1 species
CCUACGGGUGGCAGCAGUGAGGAAUAUUGGUCAAUGGACGAGAGUCUGAACCAGCCAAGUAGCGUGAAGGAUGACUGCCCUAUGGGUUGUAAACUUCUUUUAUAUGGGAAUAAAAUGAGCCACGUGUGCCUUUUUGUAUGUACUUUAUGAAUAAGGAUCGGCUAACUCCGUGCCAGCAGCCGCGGUAAUACGGAGGAUCCGAGCGUUAUCCGGAUUUAUUGGGUUUAAAGGGAGCGUAGGUGGGUUGUUAAGUCAGUUGUGAAAGUUUGCGGCUCAACCGUAAAAUUGCAGUUGAUACUGGCAGUCUUGAGUACAGUUGAGGUAGGCGGAAUUCGUGGUGUAGCGGUGAAAUGCUUAGAUAUCACGAAGAACCCCGAUUGCGAAGGCAGCUUACUAAACUGUGACUGACAUUGAGGCUCGAAAGUGUGGGUAUCAAACAGGAUUAGAUACCCCUGUAGUC